GAUGAACGCUAGCGGCAGGCUUAACACAUGCAAGUCGAGGGGUAUUGGUUUUCGGACCAAGAGACCGGCGCACGGGUGCGUAACGCGUAUGCAAUCUACCUUUUGCAGAGGGAUAGCCCAGAGAAAUUUGGAUUAAUACCUCAUAGUAUAGUACCUUGGCAUCAAGGAGCUAUUAAAGUCACAACGGCAAAAGAUGAGCAUGCGUCCCAUUAGCUAGUUGGUAAGGUAACGGCUUACCAAGGCGACGAUGGGUAGGGGUCCUGAGAGGGAGAUCCCCCACACUGGUACUGAGACACGGACCAGACUCCUACGGGAGGCAGCAGUGAGGAAUAUUGGACAAUGGGCGCAAGCCUGAUCCAGCCAUGCCGCGUGCAGGAUGACGGUCCUAUGGAUUGUAAACUGCUUUUUAUACAGGAAGAACACUGGUUCGUGAACCAGCUUGACGGUACUGUAAGAAUAAGGAUCGGCUAACUCCGUGCCAGCAGCCGA
rnacentral:rRNA from 1 species